GAUGAACGCUAGCGGCAGGCCUAACACAUGCAAGUCGAGGGGCAGCACAGGUAGCAAUACUGGGUGGCGACCGGCGGAUGGGUGCGUAACGCGUAUGCAACCUACCAUUGAUUGGGGCAUAGCCCGAAGAAAUUCGGAUUAAUACUCCAUAAUAUUCAUCAAAGGCAUCUUUUAUGAAUUAAAGCUUUUGCGAUCAAUGAUGGGCAUGCGUGACAUUAGUUAGUUGGUGAGGUAACGGCUCACCAAAACGAUGAUGUCUAGGGGUUCUGAGAGGAUUAUCCCCCACACUGGUACUGAGACACGGACCAGACUCCUACGGGAGGCAGCAGUGAGGAAUAUUGGUCAAUGGACGCAAGUCUGAACCAGCCAUGCCGCGUGCAGGAUGACGGCCCUAUGGGUUGUAAACUGCUUUUCCACGGAGAACCCUCCGACGUGUCGGAGACUGACGGUACCGUGGGAAUAAGCAUCGGCUAACUCCGUG
rnacentral:rRNA from 1 species